UGGGGAAUUUUGGACAAUGGGGGAAACCCUGAUCCAGCCAUCCCGCGUGUGCGAUGAAGGCCUUCGGGUUGUAAAGCACUUUUGGCAGGAAAGAAACGUCAUGGGUUAAUACCCCGUGCAACUGACGGUACCUGCAGAAUAAGCACCGGCUAACUACGUGCCAGCAGCCGCGGUAAUACGUAGGGUGCAAGCGUUAAUCGGAAUUACUGGGCGUAAAGCGUGCGCAGGCGGUUCGGAAAGAAAGAUGUGAAAUCCCAGAGCUCAACUUUGGAACUGCAUUUUUAACUACCGGGCUAGAGUGUGUCAGAGGGAGGUGGAAUUCCGCGUGUAGCAGUGAAAUGCGUAGAUAUGCGGAGGAACACCGAUGGCGAAGGCAGCCUCCUGGGAUAACACUGACGCUCAUGCACGAAAGCGUGGGGAGCAAACAGG
rnacentral:rRNA from 1 species